UGAAUGAGGAAGUGGACUGGCACAGAGAUUACCGUCAGUUUAUAGACAAGAUAGUAAACGCAGAGAGAGUGGUAAAAACUUCUGACUUCAUUUACCCAGUAUUUGUGUACAGUGUGAAGACCAAACUCUCACCCGAGCAGAGAGAAGACAUAAAGCGCUUGCUCACAAAUGCCAGAGAUCUGACAGGAAUAUUUCCAUUUGUUGUUCUUACACACAAGUCAAGUGGUGAUGUUGCUGCCCUGGAAGCAACAUUUAGGCAAUUUGGAGCUGAACGAUGUUUUGCC